UGGAUAGACAUAUUUUAACCUGUGUUUUUAGACUUAAAAUUGUAUGGGUUUAUAAGGUAGCUGGCUAUAUAUCAUUCUUCGAAGUCACAGGUACAUACACUAUUUCUUAUGUGUCUAAAAUUAACUGACACACAAUAAUGCAUAAGUGUAUAUCUAUGUGUAUUGUAGGGCUAUCAUUACAUAUUUGCGUAAAUAGGAUGGAAUUGUGAAGGGAGAAAGAAAAAGUUUGAGAAUCCCUCUGGUUUCACUAAAACUAACAAUUACAAUCCUUUUGCUGAAAAAGAAAAGCAGGUCAUCAAUAUGUUAAGAGAAAAUAGGUCACGGCGAUUACUGCAGUUGGCCCAUUGCCAAAGAAAAAGAAAAUGACGGUUGUUAAAUUUAUAGUGGGAUAGGCUUAUCACUAACUACCAAUGUGCUGUAUAAAGAUUAGAGUUUUAUAUGAUGUGUACAAAAUCAAGAUGCCUUCUACAACUGACUUAAUUAGUAGAAGAAAAGUAUUGUUUACACUUUGCAAUCUCUUCUAAAGGUGCAAAAUGAAUAGGCCUAAAGGUAUUUCAAUUAACAAAGAUAGUCUGGUGGAUGUUACUGACACAAGUGUCACUGAGGAGUUUGUCGCUGAAGAAAAUGUGUGCUAUGGUAAGCCUAAAUGUUUAUCAUACAAAGUAAUCUAACAAUAAUAGGCUAUUGAUGUUUUAAUGUAUAUUUUAAGUGUUAAACUUCAUUGCUUUGAGACAAUUUAGUGUCAUGUAUCUCCACCCCUCUACGUUGUAUAUUAACCUGAUCAUUGAUAUCACCAGUCCAUAUUUUCUUGUGUUUACCUAACUUC
rnacentral:sRNA from 1 species